UUGUGUAAUUCGGACAUGGGUCAACACUGAUAACAAGAGAAAUGAGAUAAUCUCUCUGUGCAUAGUUAUUUAAUUCCGAAUCGUAUUUUAAAAUGAAUAUUUUCUUGCUGUUUGCGCCGCUCGUGUGCCUGUUUGGCUCCUCGUAUCAAAGAUGCAUUUCAACAGUGGCAACAACCGAAUGCGAUGCUGCAAGUUUCUCCCGUGGACAUCCCGUGAAGUUAGAUUCUUAUCGGAACUUUGUGCAGUUCAAGGGAAGUAAUAUUGAAGAGAUUCCGUCGGGGACAUUUCGGUUGUUACCCGAAGUCAGCAGUCUUUACCUCAGUUUUAACACAAUUAAAAAGUUAGAGCCAGGCUCGUUCGACGGUUUACCAAAACUGAGUCAACUGGUCCUGAAUCACAACAGUUUAGAAAUCAUUGUUAAUGGAGUGUUCCGCGACUGCACCAAUCUGCGAAUGCUUGAUUUAGGAGCGAAUAAAAUUAAAACCAUCGAAAGGAGCGCUUUUAGCGAACUCAUAAACUUGGAAGAAAUCGUGCUGUCGUUCAAUCAGUUAGAAAGUGUUCCUGAAAGCGUCGCAGUUUUAGUCAAAGUUAAAAAAAUAGAUUUGUCUAAUAAUAAAAUCAAGUCUGUCGAGUCGAACGUUUUCACUAAGUUGAAUUCUUUGGAAGUUUUAAGUUUGGAAAGUAAUAAAAUUCGGUACGUUCAAGACGAUGCGUUUAAGGGUUUGAACAAGCUCCAGGAAAUUAAUCUCAAAGACAACUAUCUGUCGAAUUUAAAUGCUGCCAAUCUUAUAAAUAACUUGAAGUCGCUGAAAACAAUAAAACUUAGUAUCAAUGAUUUUGUCUGUAAGACAUUGAAGGCCAUUAUCGACGAAUUCGAGGCAAGAAAUAUCAAAGUGACACGAGGAGUUUCCAAAGCGGACGUCACUAUAAAUGGAAUUGCUUGUAAACUGCAAUAAAUUUUUGCAUCAUU